rnacentral:rRNA from 1 species
AGAGCGAACGCUGGCGGCAGGCCUAAUACAUGCAAGUCGAACGGAUCCUUCGGGAUUAGUGGCGGACGGGUGAGUAACACGUGGGAACGUGCCCUUUGGUUCGGAACAACUCAGGGAAACUUGAGCUAAUACCGGAUAAGCCCUUCGGGGGAAAGAUUUAUCGCCAUUGGAGCGGCCCGCGUCUGAUUAGCUAGUUGGUGGGGUAAAGGCCUACCAAGGCUACGAUCAGUAGCUGGUCUGAGAGGAUGAUCAGCCACACUGGGACUGAGACACGGCCCAGACUCCUACGGGAGGCAGCAGUAGGGAAUCUUGCGCAAUGGGCGAAAGCCUGACGCAGCCAUGCCGCGUGAAUGAUGAAGGUCUUAGGAUUGUAAAAUUCUUCAGCGGGGACGAUAAUGACGGUACCCGCAGAAGAAGCCCCGGCUAACUUCGUGCUAGCAGCCGC